rnacentral:rRNA from 1 species
GUGCCAGCCGCCGCGGUAAUACGGAGGGUGCAAGCGUUAUCCGGAAUCACUGGGCGUAAAGGGCGCGUAGGCGGUCUGCUAAGUCCGAUGUUAAAGACCGGGGCUCAACCCCGACACGGCGUUGGAUACUGGCAGGCUUGACGACUGGAGAGGUGAGUGGAAUUACCAGUGUAGCGGUGGAAUGCGUAGAUACUGGUAGGAACACCCAUUGCGAAGGCAGCUCACUGGACAGUUUGUGACGCUGAGGCGCGAAAGUGUGGGGAGCAAACCGGAUUAGAUACCCGGGUAGUCCACACCCUAAACGAUGCAUACUUGGUGUCGGCCCGUUGGGGUCGGCGCCGGAGUUAACGCGUUAAGUAUGCCGCCUGGGAAGUACGGCCGCAAGGUUGAAACUUAAAUGAAUUGACGGGG